rnacentral:tRNA from 1 species
GCCCACAUAGUGUAGUUCGGUCCAGCAUUCGGGACUGUCACUUCGGAACCCGACGGGAAUUCAAAUCCCGGUGUGGGCG